UACGUAGGGGGCUAGCGUUGUCCGGAAUCAUUGGGCGUAAAGAGCGUGUAGGCGGUCCGGUAAGUCCGCUGUGAAAGUCGGGGGCUCAACCCUCGAAUGCCGGUGGAUACUGUCGGGCUAGAGUGCGGAAGAGGAGAGUGGAAUCCUGGUGUAGCGGUGAAAUGCGCAGAUAUCAGGGAAAGAAACACCGUGGCGAAGGCGGCUCUCUGGACGUGACUGACGCUGAGACGCGAAAGCGUGGGAGCGAACAGGAUAGAAACCCUUUGAGUCC
rnacentral:rRNA from 1 species